AGAGUUUGAUCCUGGCUCAGGAUGAAUGCUGGCGGCGAGCCUAAUACAUGCAAGUCGAGCGGUAGCAGGGCUUCACCGUUCUCUUGUCGCACUUGGCCUUUGAGCAAGUGGUCUGAUACGAGGGAACAGUGAAGCUGCUGACGAGCGGCGGACGGCUGAGUAACGCGUGGGAACAUACCCCGAAGUGAGGGAUAACUACUCGAAAGAGUGGCUAAUACCGCAUGUGAUCUUCGGAUUAAAGCAUUUAUGCGCUUUGGGAAUGGCCUGCGUACGAUUAGAUAGUUGGUGAGGUAAAGGCUCACCAAGUCGACGAUCGUUAGAUGGUUUGAGAGGAUGAUCAUCCAGACUGGGACUGAGACACGGCCCAGACUCCUACGGGAGGCAGCAGUAGGGAAUCUUUCACAAUGGGCGAAAGCCUGAUGGAGCAACGCCGCGUGCAGGAUGAAGGCCUUCGGGUUGUAAACUGCUUUUAUAAGCGAGAAAUAUGAUGGUAACUUAUGAAUAAGGAUCGGCUAACUACGUGCCAGCAGCCGCGGUCAUACGUAGGAUCCGAGCAUUAUCCGGAGUGACUGGGUGUAAAGAGUUGCGUAGGUGGCAUAGUAAGUAGCUAGUGAAAUCUGGUGGCUCAACCAUUCAGACUAUUAGCUAAACUGCUAAGCUCGAGACCGUUAGGGGGAACUGGAAUUUCUAGUGUAAGAGUGAAAUCCCGUAGAUAUUUGAAGGAAACACCGAUAGCGUAGGCAGGUUUACUGGGACCGGUUCUGACACUAAGGCACGGAAAGGUAAGGGAGCAAACGGGAUUAGAUACCCUGGUAGUCCACGCCCUAAACGAUGUCAACUAGUUGUUGGGGAUUAAAUUCCUCAGUAACGCAGCCAACGCGUGAAGUUGACCGCCUGGGAAGUACGGUCGCAAGACUAAAACUCAAAGGAAUUGACGGGGACCCGCACAAGCGGUGGAUGAUGUGGAUUAAUUCGAUGCAACGCGAAAAACCUUACCUACCCUUGACAUGUCAGAGAAGCUUUUGUAAUGAGAGUGUGACCGCAAGGGCGUCUGAACACAGGUGCUGCAUGGCUGUCGUCAGCUCGUGUCGUGAGAUGUUGGGUUAAGUCCCGCAACGAGCGCAACCCUUGUCACUAGUUGCUACGAAAGGGCACUCUAGUGAGACUGCCGGUGACAAACCGGAGGAAGGUGGGGAUGACGUCAAGUCCUCAUGGCCCUUAUGGGUAGGGCUUCACACGUCAUACAAUGGUCGGAACAGAGGGCAGCCAACCCGUGAGGGGGAGCAAAUCCCAGAAAACCGAUCGUAGUCCGGAUUGCAGUCUGCAACUCGACUGCAUGAAGUCGGAAUCGCUAGUAAUCGCAGAUCAGCAUGUUGCGGUGAAUACGAAGCCGGGUCUUGUACUCACCGCCCGUCAA
rnacentral:rRNA from 1 species